GCUUGCAAUACAUGAUGUGAUCACCUGGGAUGUAUUAGAGAGCUCAAAAAGUAUUUGAGGUGAAUUCUAGCCUGCCUGACUUCUCUUAGGGAGAAGCUAAAUAGAUAUAUCCCAGCUUUCAGAUAUUUAAGCUACUCUGCUUCAUGGAGAUUACUUAAAUCAAAUAAUUAAUUGUUAAGAGAAAAGCUACUUUCCUUACUAAUCAAACUUCAUCCUAAAGAUGCAUCUUAAUGAAUGGGCUAAGUCAACUCGUUGUUCUAGUUACCAGUCAUGGAAUAUUCUUUCUGCUGUGAUACACAUAGAAAGAAGGUUCAUGUUGGACUGUUCUGUAAAAUCUUUCCAUGAAAUGCUAGAACUUUAGUGUUUGCUCCAGGAAAAGGUAACUGCCAGCAAGUGUGAUUGCAACUCCACUGCCAAAAAAGGUGUGUCUGUUUAUGCCAGUGAGGUGCUUUACUGAUGGUGUAAAUGUAAUAGCAUGGUAAUUACUGAUUAUAGAUACAAUUAGGAUCAAACUAUUGUACAUACAGA
rnacentral:lncRNA from 1 species